rnacentral:lncRNA from 1 species
AUGGAUCAAGACUUUUUUGGAUUUUUAACACACUUCUGGAGAGAAGUGGAAACAACCUGGGAUUCCUAUUUUUGGGGUUUGCACUGGUUCCACCCACGAUGGAAAAUGCUGGAAAUGAGAAGAGUGAAAAGCCCAAACUGGUGUCAGGCUGACAAGGCUUCUCCUGGCUUUUCAAAGUGGUCACUGUGAAUUAUCAGGCCUGGCAGGUAAAUACAGUGGAG